rfam:Tupaia chinensis contig173107, whole genome shotgun sequence.
CCAAAGGCCCUUUUCAGGGCCGCCCACCUGCUCAAGAAGGGCUGU